UGCCAGCCGCCGCGGUAAUACGGAGGGUACGAACGUUAAUCGGAAUUACUGGGCGUAAAGCGCGCGUAGGCGGCACGGUAAGUGGGAUGUGAAAGCCCCGGGCUCAACCUGGGAACUGCAUUCCAAACUGCCGCGCUAGAGUAUGGUAGAGGGAGGUAGAAUUUCCUGUGUAGCGGUGAAAUGCGUAGAUAUAGGAAGGAAUACCGGUGGCGAAGGCGGCCUCCUGGACCAAUACUGACGCUGAGGUGCGAAAGCGUGGGGAGCAAACAGGAUUAGAUA
rnacentral:rRNA from 1 species